rnacentral:tRNA from 1 species
AACCGGCUAGCUCAGUCUGUAGAGCAUGAGACUCUUAAUCUCAGGAUCAUGGGUUCAUGUCCCACAUUGGGUG